GAUGAACGCUGGCGGCGUGCCUAAUACAUGCAAGUCGAGCGAACAGAUAAGGAGCUUGCCCUUUUGAAGUUAGCGGCGGACGGGUGAGUAACACGUGGGUAACCUACCUAUAAGACUGGGAUAACUUCGGGAAACCGGAGCUAAUACCGGAUAACAUUUAGAACCGCAUGGUUCUAAAGUGAAAGAUGGUUUUGCUAUCACUUAUAGAUGGACCCGCGCCGUAUUAGCUAGUUGGUAAGGUAACGGCUUACCAAGGCGACGAUACGUAGCCGACCUGAGAGGAUGAUCGGCCACACUGGAACUGAGACACGGUCCAGACUCCUACGGGAGGCAGCAGUAGGGAAUCUUCCGCAAUGGGCGAAAGCCUGACGGAGCAACGCCGCGUGAGUGAUGAAGGUUUUCGGCUCGUAAAACUCUGUUAUUAGGGAAGAACAAAUGUGUAAGUAACUGUGCACAUCUUGACGGUACCUAAUCAGAAAGCCACGGCUAACUACGUG
rnacentral:rRNA from 1 species